rnacentral:rRNA from 1 species
GAUACGCCCUUUGGGGGAAAGAUUUAUCACAAAAAAAUCUGCCCGAGUUUGAUUACCCCGUUGGUGAGGUAAAGGCUCACCUAGGCCACCAUCAGUAUCUGGUCUGAGAGGAUGAUCACCCACACUGUCACAUAAGACACGGCCCAGACUCCUACGGGAGGCAACACUGGGGAAUAUUGGACAAUGGGCGCAACCCCCAUCCAGCCAUUCCGCGUGAGUGAUCAAAGCCUUAGGGUUUUAAAUCUCUUUCCGCAGGGACAAAUAUGACGGUUCCCGCAGGAUAAGCCCCGUGCCUACUUCGUGCCACCAACCGCCGUAAUACUAAGGGGGCCAGCGUUGCUUCGAAUCACUGGGCGUAAAGGGCACGUACGCCGUCAUAUAAAUCGGGGGUGAAAGCCCGUGGCUCA